rnacentral:rRNA from 1 species
GAUGAACGCUGGCGGCGUGCCUAAUACAUGCAAGUCGAGCGAACGGACGAGAAGCUUGCUUCUCUGAUGUUAGCGGCGGACGGGUGAGUAACACGUGGAUAACCUACCUCUACGACUGGGAUAACUUUGGGAAACCGGAGCUUAUACCGGAUAAUAUUUUGAACCGCAUGGUUCCAAAGUGAAAGACGGUCUUUCUGUCACUUAUAGAUUGAUCCGCGCUGCAUUAGCUAGUUGGUAAGGUAACGGCUUAGCAAGGCAACGAUGCAUAGCCGACCUGAGAGGGUGGUCGCAUAGACUGGAAGUGAGACACAGUCCAGACUCCUACGGGAGGCAGCAGUAGGGAAUCUUACGCGAUGGACGAGAGCGUGACGGAGCAACGCCGGGUGAGUGCUGAAGGUCCUCGGAUCGUAGAACUCUGUUAUUAGUGAAGAACAUAUGUGUAAGUAACUGUGCACAUCUUGACGGUACCUAAUCAGAAAGCUACGGCUAACUACGUG